GGCGGCGGGGCGGCCUGGAUCUGUGUGGCACGCUGUGAGGGCGGGGUUGGGCUGAGCGUCCUGCUUGCAUAAAGGUACCAAGGCUAAGGCAGAUCGCCCUGAGUUUUCUGCAGCAGAUAAAUGACCAUAGGGAGAAACUGCUCACAGACAACCCGCAUCUGCUCUGCACAGACUCACCUCCAUUUACAGAAAUAAGUGCACUGGCAAGGGCUUGACUCGUGUCAUCACCCAAGGUGAUGUUUAUACAGUACGUUCCAGGUUCAUCAAAAGCUCUCCUAAUGGUAACAACAAAGUCAACCAGUGGAUUUUCAGCUUGACUUUCUGUCAUCUGGAUGCUUGUCAUCUGAAUAAUAUUUACCUCAAGGAUUC